rnacentral:rRNA from 1 species
GUGACCAAAAAUCAGUUUGGUUUCAUGCCUGGGAGGUCGACCAUGGAAGCCAUUUUCUUGUUACGACAACUUAUGGAGAGAUAUAGGGAGCAAAAGAAGGACUUGCAUAUGGUGUUCAUUGACUUGGAGAAGGCCUAUGAUAAGAUACCGCGGAAUGUCAUGUGGUGGGCCUUGGAGAAACACAAAGUCCCAGCAAAGUACAUUACCCUCAUCAAGGACAUGUACGAUAAUAUUGUGACAAGUGUUCGAACAAGUGAUGUCAACACCGAUGACUUCCUGAUUAAGAUAGGACUGCAUCAGGGGUCAGCUUUGAGCCCUUAUCUUUUUGCAUUGGUGAUGGAUGAGGUCACAAGGGAUAUACAAGGAGAUAUCCCAUGGUGUAUGCUCUUUGCAGAUGAUGUGGUGCUAGUUGACGAUAGUUGGACGGGGGUAAAUAGGAAGUUAGAGUUAUGGAGACAAACCUUGGAAUCGAAAGGGUUUAGGCUUAGUAGAACUAAAAUCGAGUACAUGAUGUGCGGUUUCAGUACUACUAGGUGUGAGGAGGAGGAGGUUAGCCUUGAUGGCCAGGUGGUACCUCGGAAGGACACCUUUUGGUAUUUGGGGUCAAUGUUGCAGGAGGAUGGGGGUAUUGAUGAAGAUGUGAACCAUCGAAUCAAA